GGGUGAGUAACACGUAUCCAACCUGCCGUCUACUCUUGGACAGCCUUCUGAAAGGAAGAUUAAUACAAGAUGGCAUCAUGAGUCCGCAUGUUCACAUGAUUAAAGGUAUUCCGGUAGACGAUGGGGGUGCGUUCCAUUAGAUAGUAGGCGGGGUAACGGCCCACCUAGUCUUCGAUGGAUAGGGGUUCUGAGAGGAAGGUCCCCCACAUUGGAACUGAGACACGGUCCAAACUCCUACGGGAGGCAGCAGUGAGGAAUAUUGGUCAAUGGGCGAGAGCCUGAACCAGCCAAGUAGCGUGCAGGAAGACGGCCCUAUGGGUUGUAAACUGCUUUUGUGCGGGAAUAAAGCGGGUCACGUGUGGCCCUUUGCAUGUACCGUACGAAUAAGGACCGGCUAAUUCCGUGCCAGCAGCCGCGGUAAUACGGAAGGUCCGG
rnacentral:rRNA from 1 species